rnacentral:rRNA from 1 species
AUGUAUAGCAAUAGCUACUUGCAUCAUUGUAAAUAUGAUGCAAGAUCGACUAUGUCGAAUAAAAUUCUAGGUAGAAUUAUGAUAAUGACAUUGUCUGCCUAUGUGUCUUGACCAAAUUACGUGCCAGCAGUCGCGGUAAUACGUAGAAGACUAGUGUUAUUCAUGUUUAAUCGGUUUAAAGGGUACCUAGACGGUAAAUCAAGCCUAAAAGGAAAUAAAUGAAGGGACUAAUUUACUAGAGUUACUUAUGAGGGGGUAUUAAAGUACUGCUGGUGUAGAGAUGAAAUUCUGUCAUACCUCUUUUCAAUAGAAAAAUAAUGGCACAGGUAUAGGCGAAAGCAUCCCCUUAUGUGAUAACUGACGUUGAGGGACGAAGGCUUUGUGUAGCGAACAGGAUUAGAUACCCCAGUAGUCAAAGCAG